rnacentral:rRNA from 1 species
UGGGGAAUAUUGGACAAUGGGCGGAAGCCUGGUCCAGCAACGCCGCGUGAGGGAUGACGGCCUUCGGGUUGUAAACCUCUUUCACCAUUGACGAAGCUGCAUCUUUUGGUGUGGUGACGGUAGGUGGGAAGAAACACCGGCCAACUACGUGCCAGCAGCCGCGGUAAUACGUAGGGUGCGAGCGUUGUCCGGAAUUAUUGGGCGUAAAGGGCUCGUAGGCGGUUUGUCGCGUCGGGAGUGAAAACAUCCGGCUUAACUGGGUGCUUGCUUUCGAUACGGGCAGACUAGAGGUAUGCAGGGGAGAACGGAAUUCCUGGUGUAGCGGUGAAAUGCGCAGAUAUCAGGAGGAACACCGGUGGCGAAAGGCGGUUUCCUGGGGCAUGAUCUGACGCUGAGGAGCGAAAGUGUGGGAGCGAACA